CAUACGGGGGGAUGGCCUUUAGUACGGCGAGUGAGCGGCAAAAGCUCAAAUUUGAAAUCUGGCACCUUCGGUGUCCGAGUUGUAAUUUGAAGAAGGUAACUUUGGAGUUGGCUCUUGUCUAUGUUCCUUGGAACAGGACGUCACAGAGGGUGAGAAUCCCGUGCGAUGAGAUGCCCAAUUCUAUGUAAAGUGCUUUCGAAGAGUCGAGUUGUUUGGGAAUGCAGCUCUAAGUGGGUGGUAAAUUCCAUCUAAAGCUAAAUAUUGGCGAGAGACCGAUAGCGAACAAGUACAGUGAUGGAAAGAUGAAAAGAACUUUGAAAAGAGAGUGAAAAAGUACGUGAAAUUGUUGAAAGGGAAGGGCUUGAGAUCAGACUUGGUAUUUUGCGAUCCUUUCCUUCUUGGUUGGGUUCCUCGCAGCUUACUGGGCCAGCAUCGGUUUGGAUGGUAGGAUAAUGACUAAGGAAUGUGGCUCUACUUCGGUGGAGUGUUAUAGCCUUGGUUGAUACUGCCUGUCUAGACCGAGGACUGCGUCUUUUGACUAGGAUGUUGGCAUAAUGAUCUUAAGCCACCCGUCUUGAAAAAAGGGAACAAAAACCGAAGAAUUAAAAAAAAAAAAAAAAAAAAAAAAAAUUUUUAAUAAAAUAUACUGUUUAAGACAAUUUACGUUAGUGGUUAAUUCA
rnacentral:rRNA from 1 species